rnacentral:rRNA from 1 species
GACGAACGCUGGCGGCGUGCUUAACACAUGCAAGUCGAACGGAAAGGCCCUGCCUUUGUGGGGUGCUCGAGUGGCGAACGGGUGAGUAACACGUGAGUAACCUGCCCUUGACUUUGGGAUAACUUCAGGAAACUGGGGCUAAUACCGGAUAGGAGCUCCUGCUGCAUGGCGGGGGUUGGAAAGUUUCGGCGGUUGGGGAUGGACUCGCGGCUUAUCAGCUUGUUGGUGGGGUAGUGGCUUACCAAGGCUUUGACGGGUAGCCGGCCUGAGAGGGUGACCGGCCACAUUGGGACUGAGAUACGGCCCAGACUCCUACGGGAGGCAGCAGUGGGGAAUAUUGCACAAUGGGCGGAAGCCUGAUGCAGCAACGCCGCGUGCGGGAUGACGGCCUUCGGGUUGUAAACCGCUUUCGCCUGGGACGAAGCGUGAGUGACGGUAAUGGGUAAAGAAGCACCGGCUAACUACGUG